CAAAUUGGCUUAUUCUAAGGAUGAGAACAGGUCUUUAGUCAAUUUUGCAUGUAAUUGUAAUGUGUCUAUGGUACAUUUAAAGAGACAUGUAGACAGUAGCAUUGACAGCUAUACCUUGUCCGUUGUACUUAGAUGUUAUGAAUUACAAUUUUUUAAUUUGAGUUCAUUAUAUUGUGCAGUGAAAACAUUCUGUUAGAGCAUACUUGUGUUGAAAUUAUACAUUUAGAUACUUGUGUUGAAGAAGCUUCUUUGCUCUUUCUUCUGUGGUGACUUAGAUACAAGAAGCUUCUAUGCUAGUGGCUUAUAUUUGAAACGCGGAGUGAAUGAAAAGGGUAGAGUAGCUAAUGAUGUUGAGACAGAACAGCAACUGGUUAAUUCUUGGGGUAUUAUUUUGAUAUUAUUAGAUCAAACACCUUUAGCAGCAAAGCUACAAAUGUGUUGGGACAACUGGGAAAAGUGGCUGCAUAUGUACUGAAGUUGACUGGCAUCUUCUAUUGUCCAGUGACAUCAAAUGUGAGGCUAGAUGGAUUUUCGCAUUAUUCCUACACCCAAGGAAAAAGAAAUCGAGGAAGUAUAGGACGGACCAGGGGCUAUACGCGGAGCUGAGCGAGGCGAUGGAGUGUUUGGAGCACAUAUGCUAUGAUGGGUGUACCCACGUUGAACCGUACGAUGCUGCGGAGGUGAAGAGGGAGAGGACUCCGUGUGGAAGAAUCGCCACGUGCCAGGCUCUUCAGGUUCUGAUCCGCCACUUUGCCACGUGCGAGAAGAAGGUGCGCGGCGGCUGCGUGCGGUGCAAGCGAAUGUUGCAGCUCUUUCGACUCCAUUCCUAUCUUUGUCACCACACCGAUUCAUCCUGCAAGGUUCCUUUUUUGCCGUCAAUGCACUAAAGAAGGGGCUAAGUUGUUUUGUGUUUCACAAAAAUAAUUUUAUUUAUUUAUACAAAUGGAGGGCCUUUUGAGAUUACUUCUUCUGCAUGGAACAAUUAGUUGAAUCAAUCUUGAAUAAGGUCGUGGAGGAGUUUGAGCAAUGCAUUGCCAGCCAGGGUGAACAGAGUUUAUAAACCUUGUCUCGUCAGAAUCCAGUGAAGUCUGUAAUAGAGAGGAUAAACGGACAAUUGCACCUGAGCAUGUAUUGAAGGCUCUAUAGGUAUUUGUCCAUCCUUUGCAUCUCUAAAGCUCUGCAUGUGGAUGUUGCCCACUUUGUAUCUUGACUCUUGGGUUUUAGGCCUUGAAUUAAUUAUGGGUUUCUUA